rnacentral:misc_RNA from 1 species
AACCAUAGAAACCUGCGGAGUACCUGCGGAGGGAUCAUUCAUAAAAUCAUCUUUUGGUUUUUUUUUAUUUUUUCCCGCCACUGGGAAAAAAAAAAGAAAAAAUACCCGACUUUAUGUGUACUGUAAUAAUAUGAGGUAGAGUUGGAUUCUCAGGUUCAAAAUUUUUUUUGACCCGAUGUCCUUGUCUACUUUUUAUAUAUUAUCCUAUUUAUCAAUUUUUAAACAACAGAGUGAACUUUU